rnacentral:tRNA from 1 species
GGGGCUAUAGCUCAGCUGGGAGAGCGCUUGCAUGGCAUGCAAGAGGUCAGCGGUUCGAUCGCUUAGCUCCACCA